UAUAUUAGUCUAAGAUUCAAGUUAACCUCUGCCUGAGGUAUUAAUCUUAAUGGGUUUUGAUUUAAUUUCUGUUCCAGCAGACCAAAUAUGAGUAGAGAUAGAAUUGAUAUGCUAUCAAUUUGUAAUCAUAAAAUGAUUAUGCUGAGCAAUUAAAUCAGCUAUAUAGAGUUUAGAGUUCAAUCAAACCUUUCUGUGAAGACAAAGUAUAAGAGCAUUUAAAACAGAAAGUGGAGCACCUGUCUGACCAUGAUAAAUCCACAUUCCAGAGACAGGGAGAGGCCUUCUGAGAAAAGGAACUCUACAGUGCUCUACACAGAAGUGAGCCUUUGACCUGAGCCUCAAGAAAGGAAUAUCCAGCUGGACGCUCUUUGCCCAUCAAAUAGGAAAUUGUGUCUGGCCCAGAGCUGGCCUCUGCUGUACAGAGUUAGUAUCUUUCAGCCAAGAACCCACUAGGUGUAUUUGGCAUCAUCAGUUGUAAGUAGCUGCACUGUUUCUGGGCAGGGACAUUCCUUUUGUCUGUCAGUUCACAGACUGUCAGCACUCUUCUCCUGUAUCCUCCAGGGACUCUACCCACGGGGAUGGGGCGGGGUGGGGGGAGAUAGUGUCACAGAUAGGUCUGAUUUUUUAGGACAACCUAUUCAGAAGAGAUACGAAGAAGUGAUUCCCUGAGAUGUUCUUAGAUGGGCCUGAGCUCCGAUUCUCUCAGCCCCAUGUUUCAGGUCAUCCACCUGGCUCUCUUUACAGAUGCACUAAGGACCUCUCCAUUCCUGGAAGGACUGGCACCCACCAUUCCUAGGACUGGAGGUUUUUAUUAAGGAUGUGGAGGAGGGAAAGGACUAAAUCAUGUGUGUGCCAGCUCCAGGGCCAACUUCCCUGGGUUUGAAACCUGGGUUUGCUGCCUGCUAGCUGUGUGGCAUUGUCCAGGUUACUGAUGCCCACACUAAGCCUCAGUUCUCCCAUUCUUAAAAGGCUUAGGACUGGUUCCUGACUCCUCAGAUCCUCAUGAAAACGAAUCCUGAGGGUUAAUGCUUGUCCAGUCAAGAUAAUAGUUUUAUAAAUGUUUGUUGUUAUUGUCAUUAUGUUGAUGGUCUUUAGUCACCCUGUCUCCCCAGCUCUUGACCUCCUGGGCAAAGUUCUGACCAAGAUUCUGAAUGCUUACAAGGAAAGAAAGAUACCAUUUUGACCUUUCUGGUGACUUUGCUUUGUGAUGACGAGAACACCUGUAGUGGCGGAGCACAGCCCCGUGAUGCUGAGGAAGCUGCAUGAGCCCCAGCUCCCGCCUGGCCAGGUAGAGGGCAAGGCUUGUCGACCAGAGGUCAGUGGUAUCACCUCUGCAGGAGCAGCUAGAGCCUCUUCUCUGUUUCCAGAAAUAACUCUUUGUAUCUAGACUAUGGGGACAAGCAGGAUCUGUUCACAUAACUAUUUUGGCUGCCAUUGCUUGAGUCCUUAUUAUGCCAGGCUCUACACAUACAUUCUCCCUUCUAGUCACACAAUCCCUACAAAGAAGCUGCGGUACUCCCAACACUGAGGCUCACAGAAGAAAUCAGCCAGCAUCCCAUGUUAAAAAGUGAUAGAGCUAGUACCCAAACCUAAACUUCAAACCCAACUGCUUUCUGUUACCCUGCAUUCCUUCUCUCUUACCAUGUCCCCAAAAGUACUGUGGAGCAGAAGGUUUCCACUAACUUUAGGCCUUUAGCAUAUGAUUGUGUCUUGAAAAGAACCCCUGUUGAGACAUCUUCUACUUUCCCUGCCAGACAAGAUGCACUGUCCAGAGAUUCCAGCUGUGCAGCCAUCCUGGGUCUGCUCCCAGAUGGAUAACGCCUAUAUCAAGUCAUGGCUGCUUUUGGACUGAGCCACCGGGCACUCAUCACCUUAUCUUUUCCUGGACACGUGCUCAGGGACAUAUUUGAAUUCACCAUGUUUGCAGGUCAACCACAUAAACACUGGCCUUUCCUGGAGACUACCAGAACAUUCCUGAACCUGUGACACCCAGAGGGAGUCUCUCCCCAGAGACCGGCAAGUGCGAUGUUUGAGAAACAGAGCAGCCCAGAGAAGCCCUUCUAUUUCACCACAGAGGAAAGAUGGAAGACAUGCAUCUACUCUGGAACUCCUGCCUCAAGAUCUGAGAUGGACAAUCUGGAAAGAUCUCAUCAGCCAUUGGCUCUCGCAAGCUAUCUUCCAGAUCAUUCAGAGCAUAAGGAUGGGCAUGUGAGGAGGCCCGGGAUAUGACACUGCCCCUUCCGCUGGAGGGUGGAGGACCUCUUAAGCUCUUAGCCGGGUAUCUGGGAAGUGAGCAGGCCACACAGAAUAGGGAAAAAAAAGGAUCUGCAGUUAUUCCCUGAUCACUUCAUCGUGGAUGUCAGACCACAUUGCCUUCUCACAGGACAUCUUGGUACAUCCGUGCUCUGGAGCGGAAAAGACACUUGCUUUUCUGUUAGCAGGAUGGGCAGCUCCCGGGUGCCUGCCGCAGUGCUCUCUUUGGUUCGGGAAUGCUUGCAUGUGGCACUCUGAAUGAUCACCGGCUUACGUUCUACGGAUACAAUCUCUCCUCCACUGGGAACUGGUUUUAUAAAUAAAUGUCUUUGUUCAACCUUA